GACGAACGCUGGCGGCGUGCCUAACACAUGCAAGUCGAACGAAGUGGCGAACGGGUGUGUAACGCGUAAACAACCUGCCCUUCCGAGGGGGACAACAGUUGGAAACGACUGCUAAUACCGCAUACUGAAGGAGGGGAUUGCGUCUGUUUAGCUAGUUGGAGGGGUAACGGCCCACCAGGGCGAUGAUCAGUCGCCGAUCUGAGAGGUGGAGCGGCCACAUUGGGACUGAGACACGGCCCAGACUCCUACGGGAGGCAGCAGUGGGGAAUCUUCCGCAAUGGACGAAAGUCUGACGGAGCAACGCCGCGUGAGUGAUGACGGCCUUCGGGUGGUAAAGCUCUGUUAUUCGAGAAGCGGUACCGGAAUAGAAAGCCACGGCUAACUACGUGCCAGCAGCCGCGGUAAUAC
rnacentral:rRNA from 1 species